UACGAAGGGGGCUAGCGUUGUCCGGAUUUAUUGGGCGUAAAGAGCGUGUAGGCGGCCAUGUAGGUCCGUUGUGAAAACUCGAGGCUCAACCUCGAGACGCCGAUGGAAACCAUGUGGCUAGAGUCCGGAAGAGGAGAGUGGAAUUCCUGGUGUAGCGGUGAAAUGCGCAGAUAUCAGGAAGAACACCCGUGGCUAAGGCGGCUCUCUAGUACGGUACUGACGCUGAGACGCGAAAGCGUGGGGAGCGAACAGG
rnacentral:rRNA from 1 species